GUGAGCGCUGGCGGUAGGCCUAACACAUGCAAGUCGAACGGCAGCACAGUAAGAGCUUGCUCUUACGGGUGGCGAGUGGCGGACGGGUGAGGAAUACAUCGGAAUCUACUUUUUCGUGGGGGAUAACGUAGGGAAACUUACGCUAAUACCGCAUACGACCUACGGGUGAAAGCAGGGGAUCUUCGGACCUUGCGCGAUUGAAUGAGCCGAUGUCGGAUUAGCUAGUUGGCGGGGUAAAGGCCCACCAAGGCGACGAUCCGUAGCUGGUCUGAGAGGAUGAUCAGCCACACUGGAACUGAGACACGGUCCAGACUCCUACGGGAGGCAGCAGUGGGGAAUAUUGGACAAUGGGCGCAAGCCUGAUCCAGCCAUACCGCGUGAGUGAAGAAGGCCUUCGGGUUGUAAAGCCCUUUUGUUGGGAAAGAAAAGCAGCAGGUUAAUACCCCGCUGUUCUGACGGUACCCAAAAAAUAAGCACCGGCUAACUUCGUG
rnacentral:rRNA from 1 species